rnacentral:rRNA from 1 species
GAUGAACGCUAGCUACAGGCUUAACACAUGCAAGUCGAGGGGCAGCAUGAUUGAAGCUUGCUUCAAUCGAUGGCGACCGGCGCACGGGUGAGUAACACGUAUCCAACCUGCCGAUAACUCGGGGAUAGCCUUUCGAAAGAAAGAUUAAUACCCGAUAGUAUAGUAUUUCCGCAUGGUUUCACUAUUAAAGAACUUCGGUUAUCGAUGGGGAUGCGUUCCAUUAGAUAGUUGGCGGGGUAACGGCCCACCAAGUCAACGAUGGAUAGGGGUUCUGAGAGGAAGGUCCCUCACAGUGGAACUGAGACACGGUCCAAACUCCUACGGGAGGCAGCAGUGAGGAAUAUUGGUCAAUGGACGAGAGUCUGAACCAGCCAAGUAGCGUGAAGGAUGACUGCCCUAUGGGUUGUAAACUUCUUUUAUACGGGAAUAAAGUGGAGUAUGCAUACGCCUUUGUAUGUACCGUAUGAAUAAGGAUCGGCUAACUCCGUG